rnacentral:rRNA from 1 species
GAUGAACGCUGGCGGCGUGCUUAACACAUGCAAGUCGAACGAAGCACUUUACUUGAUUUCUUCGGAAUGAUUGUUCUGUGACUGAGUGGGCGGACGGGUGAAGGUAACGGCCGUGGGUUAACCGUGCCCGUACAGGGGGAUAACAGUUAGAAAUGACUGCUAAUACCGCAUAAGCGCACGGUAUCGCAUGAUACAGUGUGAAAAACUCCGGUGGUAUGAGAUGGACCCGCGUCUGAUUAGCUAGUUGGUGAGGUAACGGCCCACCAAGGCGACGAUCAGUAGCCGACCUGAGAGGGUGACCGGCCACAUUGGGACUGAGACACGGCCCAA